rnacentral:lncRNA from 1 species
GGGGCAAGCAACAUAACCUUUCUGAAUUUUCAUUUCCUCAACGGUAAAUGGGGCAUUUAAUGACUCAUCCAUUCAAGGAAUGUUUGUUGAGCACCUGCUGCGUAGCAGACGCCAGAAGUACGGCAGUGAGCAGCAGAGAUAGGAUUUACGCCUUCAAAGGGUUAGUCUUCCGGUGGAAAAUCACAGGUCGUCAGGAACCAACAAUAUUGGGAAUUGAGUUCUAUGACAAGGAAGUGUUAGGGGCCAUGGCAAUACCAAGGAGUAGAGGCUUCCCAGAAGAGGAACUGAGAGUGAAAGUUAUAGCAGAAGUAACUUCUCAGAUGGUCCUAUCAGAGAAAUGCCACGCUCUAAAGAUCUACUUAAUUCUGCAGUGACUACUUCCUG